CAAACAGAAUUGGGGAAGGGAGGAGGAGCUCUCAACCAUCACAACCUUUGAUCCACCAUAACUCUUCCGUCCGGGCUCCGAUCGCCGCACCAUUUGCGGCCACGCGCUCAGCGCGUUGAGCUCAACCUUUCUAUCCGAACAAUUUCACUGGUUCAAGUUAGCUUCCGGAACUUGUGAGCUCAAGCUAUUGAGCAUAUGGGUAUGGUUUGUUGGUGACCAAGGCUUGUUUUGGGGCUGUUUGAUUGAGCUUGGAGGGGCUGUAAUUUUGAGUUGUGAGGCUGCCUUUGGUGAACUAAGUGAUUGGCAAAGAUGCAGGUCGAGAGGCUCAUCACUAGGCGUCUGGAUCUUCAAGUGGAGUAGUCCCUGGGAUGUUUUGGUUUAUCAGUUUAUGUAUUUAUGUACUUAGUUACUAGCUUGCUCUCCAAGAAACUUGUUAUUUUGUUCCUCGUAGAGGUUACAGGAGAGUUAGGACUUUACUUCAGUAUUUUGGGUAUUUUGGGAUAUCUGUAUAUGUAUGUAUAUAUAUAUUCUCCGGCCAGCCUUAGUUUCGCAGGCUGAGUCAAGAGCUAGCUAUGAUGUUUUCUUGGCUUUC